CGCGAGUCAUUGGGCAGUGCGAAACCCAAAGGCGCAGUGAAAGCGAGGGUCCGCUCGUCGGACCCAGGUGGGAUCCUUCUCCCCCCCUCCCGGGGUGGCGAGGAGGCGCACCACCGGCCCGUCCCGUCUGCGUCGGCAGUGGGGCGGAGCAGGAGCGUGCACGCUGGGACCCGAAAGAUGGUGAACUAUGCCUGAGCAGAAGGAAGCCAGAGGAAACUCUGGUGGAAGUUCGUAGCGAUUCUGACGUGCAAAUCGAUCGUCAAACUUGGGUAUAGGG
rnacentral:rRNA from 1 species